AUGAACGCUGGCGGCGUGCCUAAUACAUGCAAGUCGAGCGAACGGACGAGAAGCUUGCUUCUCUGAUGUUAGCGGCGGACGGGUGAGUAACACGUGGAUAACCUACCUAUAAGACUGGGAUAACUUCGGGAAACCGUAGCUAAUACCGGAUAAUAUUUUGAACCGCAUGGUUCAAAAGUGAAAGACGGUCUUGCUGUCACUUAUAGAUGGAUCCGCGCUGCAUUAGCUAGUUGGUAAGGUAACGGCUUACCAAGGCAACGAUGCAUAGCCGACCUGAGAAGGGGGCCAGUGCGAUGGGAACUGAGACACGGUACAGACUCAUACGGGAGGCAGCAGUGGGGAAUAUUGGACGAUGGGCGAAAGCUUGAUCCAGCCAUGCGGCGUGUGUGAAGAAGGUCCUAGGAUUGUAAAGAACUUUAAGUUGGGAGGAAGGGCAGUAAGUUAAUACCUUGCUGUUUUGACGUGACCAACAGAAUAAGCACCGGCUAACUUCGUG
rnacentral:rRNA from 1 species